rnacentral:rRNA from 1 species
AGCCACCUUCGGGUGGUGGACAGUGGCAGACGGGUGAGUAACGCGUGGGAACGUGCCUUUCGGUUCGGAAUAACCCAGGGAAACUUGGGCUAAUACCGGAUACGCCCUUCGGGGGAAAGAUUCAUUGCCGAAAGAUCGGCCCGCGUCGGAUUAGCUAGUUGGUGGGGUAAUGGCUCACCAAGGCGACGAUCCGUAGCUGGUCUGAGAGGAUGACCAGCCACACUGGGACUGAGACACGGCCCAGACUCCUACGGGAGGCAGCAGUGGGGAAUAUUGGACAAUGGGCGAAAGCCUGAUCCAGCAAUGCCGCGUGGGUGAAGAAGGUCUUCGGA